GUGGGAUAGGAGAUGUUUUUCUGGCACAUAUUUUACCAUAUCAUCUGAAAAACUCCUCAUGACGCCAUAGCACCCAUUGAAAUAGAGUGUUUGGAAAAAAAAACGAAAUCUUUUGGUCCAGUGUAGAGGGCGUAGUCAGAAGAAAACGGCAACCAAUAGAAGUAAUACUCAUCAUCACUUCUAUUGGUUUCUGACACGUCCAUCAACCGCCAGCACUCACCCCUCCUCCCUGCGCGUUCACCGACUCGUGAACUUGACCGACCCCGCCCCCAUCAUUCAUGCACACGCGACAAGGCUCAUCAUCACUCGGCUAGUAGCAAGGUAACGAGAGUUAGCAGCAGGCUGAGCUACUUGAAAACUUUGGUGGCUUUUGCAGAGCUACAGGAAGAACUUUGGCUUUUGGAACACUGGACUAACCAUGUCAGGAUAACAUACUCCCUUGGAUUAUAGUCAUCGGACUCGCAAGACCAGACUCCAACACGGGCUGAAAAUUUGAAAUGGGACCUGACACUCUUGGACACAGAUGUCGGCUACGGCAGCGGCUUCAAAUACGCUUUGGUGACCAUAUUUCUAAUCGAGAGUUGUGCGAACGAGCCAGACAAACCAGCUGGGAGGAGGACGGAAGCACCCCUUCUCCAUCCGCGUUCAGUUGCUAAAUACUGAUUCACCCCGUAGUAAGUAACCUACCAUGUUUACGCACACAUUACUUUGACCAGCAAAGCCCAUGUCUUUCUAGUGGUUUACAAAAAUAUAUCGUUUGCAUGUUUUGCUUUGGUACGUCUCUGUUGUAUGACUCUGGUAAUAGUAGCAAGCACAAGCACAACCUGUUCGCCGCUCCAGCAUUGCAAAAUAGAUUGCCUUGGGUUUUCAAAUGUUUACAUGAUUGUGGGUGUAAUGUUGUUAACUCGCUGAUGUCGUUUUUGAGAAGACGGUAGUUUUGCAUUUGAUAAAUACCACCUAAUGACCAUGACGGCUACACGGCAGAUCUUUAUUGUGAUGGCUACACUGAAUGAUCACAUGGAGAUGCCGGUACAUUAUUUGUUUUACCCUGGUUAUAUUGAAAUGUUCUGCUUUGUCCAUUCCAAGGUGUGGUGUUUUCCAUAGCUGUUCCUUGCUCCUGUAUCACAACAUAUCAAGGCUGCCAAGUAAAUGAAGAAUGAAUCACCGCACACUGGUCAACAGCAGACAGGGUCCUUCCACAACCACAUACUUAUGCCAGUAAAAGCCACAGCUUUUCUCCUCCAAUCCAAGAAGCCUGGACUGCAGUCACCAUCUCAACACACCAACCAAGAGAAAGGCGGAUGGCUCAAUUCAGUAUGUAGUUCUGCAAAUAUUCUCAAAGGUCUUCACAGCCCCCCAUGGUGCUGAAUGCAUUUACAUUUAUUUGUGUAAGGUAAAAACAAUGCUGAUUACAGAACAUAACUAGGGCCAUGAAUGAAAUUUGAGGUAGCAGCCAGUCAUCACCUGAUGGUGAGAGGUGGUCCUAAGAUCAGAGAGAAGCAGGUUGAAAUCCCAUCCUUACCUCUCCCUACCUACACCUCCAUCCACAACUGAAGUGCACUUGAGCAAGGCACACAAGUCCACUUAGGUCCUGGGACUGUAGCCAACACCCUGUAAAACCCUGCUGUGUAAUUUGAUGUAAUGAAGCCCUAAUAUAGUCUAAC